rnacentral:lncRNA from 1 species
CAUGCGGUUAGGAGUCAGACACUGGCUGGGGCUGGGUUCAUCAGAUCACUGCACUAUUCUUUUAUUUAUCAAAUAUUUAUUGACUAUUUUGUGUGAAGCGCUGCUAGGCGGUGAAGAUACAAUAGUUAUUACAGCAUAAUUCUAGUCUCCUUGGGGCAGGAUGCCAUCUUUAAGAAUCUCAGUAGGUGGUAAGUGCUAAAAAAUAGUAUGAAAGAGCAUUAUGGACUCAUGGAGUCAAACAUGGAAGGCUUCCUGGAGUUGGUGACUUAUGAGGGGACUCAAAUGAUGGGAGCCAUGAAAGGAUUGUGAGAAGGAAAAUGACAUAAUAAGCUUUCUAUUUUUAAAACGUCAGUGCCAUGUGGAAGGAACAAAGGAAGGAGUGAAGGCUGGAGAGGAAGGAGGCCAGGUAGCAAGAAGGUCAUUGCAAAAGUCUAGGUAAAAGACAUAAGGCAGCUUUGGUGGAAAUGAAGAGGAAACCCACUCUCAGGCAAGGGACUGAAACUCGCCAGAUUGCUACUCCCAGACAACGAGAAGACAGACCCCUCAUUUGUCGUGAUUACUUCCUUAUCUCUCCUUCAAUCCUUCCUGCAUGUAGCUACCUUCCUUCCCCCACCGUACAAACCCCCCAAGUCAGGGGGAUGAAUUUGAGACUCAUCUCCCAUUCUCCUUGUUGACAUCACCUGAACAAAACCUUUCUUUCCUGGCGAUACUCAUUGUCUCAGCGAUUGGCUUUCUGUGCAGUGAGCAAUGGGACCUAGACUGAAUGCCUGGUGCUCUG